GACGAACGCUGGCGGCGUGCUUAACACAUGCAAGUCGAACGGAAAGGCCCUGCUUUUGUGGGGUGCUCGAGUGGCGAACGGGUGAGUAACACGUGAGUAACCUGCCCUUGACUUUGGGAUAACUUCAGGAAACUGGGGCUAAUACCGGAUAGGAGCUCCUGCUGCAUGGUGGGGGUUGGAAAGUUUCGGCGGUUGGGGAUGGACUCGCGGCUUAUCAGCUUGUUGGUGGGGUAGUGGCUUACCAAGGCUUUGACGGGUAGCCGGCCUGUGAGGGUGACCGGCCACAUUGGGACUGAGAGACGGCCCAAACUCCUACGGGAGGCAGCAGUGGGGAAUAUUGCACAAUGGGCGGAAGCCUGAUGCAGCAACGCCGCGUGCUGGAUGACGGCCUUCGGGUUGUAAACCGCUUUCGCCUGUGACGAAGCGUGAGUGACGGUAAUGGGUAAAGAAGCACCGGCUAACUACGUG
rnacentral:rRNA from 1 species